UGUGUGUGUGUGUGUGUGUGUGUGUGUGUGUGUGUGUGUCUCACAGGAAGCUCAGGGGAUACAGUCAACUCUCUGCCUCUCCUAUGGGUGAGGGGACAGGAUCAGACCAUCCUUUCAGCAGGUCCUGAAAUAGAGGUCCAGCGUUUACACCUGGGCCAUGUGAGAAGACCGCUGUCUGCAAACCAGAAAGGAAGCCCUCACCGGACAUCAGAACUGCCAGCCCUUGAUCUUGAACUUCCCAGCCUUCAGAACUCUGUUGUGUCUUGCUUCCGAUGGUGUCAUGGCGUGAUGUCUGGUGAGCUAGGCCCGGGCCUGACCCUGCUCCAGAACUGGCUGGCCAUUCUGGCUCGGUCACACGCUCAGGUGUUACUGGAGAUGUUGCUGCAUGUCUUAGUAGAUAAAGUGCUUUUUAAAGGUAAAUCGCUUGGGUUUCCUGGGUGAUAAUAUUAUCUGCUAAUGAUGUCAGUGUUGCUCCCAUAUUCGUACUUCUUGUAAACAGCUCUUGUGUUAUUGCUUUGAUGAACACUUCAGUAUCUGUUGAAUGUUUAAUAGUGGUGCUGGCGAGAGGCAGCCUUCUUUCAUUUCUUUCUGUAGCAGAAAUACACUGAUCAUUCACCUUUUAGUACUUUAUUGAUAGAGAUACCCAUCCCUAAAG